rnacentral:lncRNA from 1 species
AGAAAUAGAAGAAGAUCUCAAAAGAUGGAAAGAUUUCCCAUGCUCGUGGAUUGGCAGGAUUAAUAUAGUAAAAAUGGCCAUCCUGCCGAAAGCAGUCUACAGAUUCAGUGUACUGGGCAAGUUUAAAAGAGUCAGGAAUGGCUUUCUGAUCAGCUGUCAUGUCACAUCACAACCCCAGGAGAAGCAGUUCACACCUGUAAUUCCAUUUGCUCAAAGACUAAAGUUGUGGGGAAAUCCAGAGCGGGCAAAGAGGAGGUCAUGACACAUGCAUGGGGCUUCACUUCUUGUUUGCUUCGUUUUGAGACAGGGUUUCUCUGUGUAGCCUGGCUGUCCUGAAACUCCCUCUGUAGACCAGGCUGGCCUCGAACUCAGAGAUCCACCUGCCCCUGUCUGCUGAGUGCUGGGAUUAAAGGCAAGCACCAGCCCUUCUCAAAGGUCACAUUUUGAUAAAUUUAUCUUAUCUACUCCGAGCUGGAAUUGGGAUGGCCUUAGGUCCUCCUUAAGCUCUAGGAGUAGCAACAGCAUUUGAACUUGACAGCUGAGAUAAGAACUCAGGGUGAGGAUUCAAGUGGAAGAAAGUGGAAAUAGGGGCUGGAGAGAGCUCAGUGGUGAGGAGCGCAACCUGCAGAGCCCCCAGUUUUGUCUCCCAGCAAUCACAGGACAGACAGCUCAUGGCCACCUACUACUCCAGUUCCAAGGUAUCUCAGACACUCUUCUGUCCUCUGGGGGCACCAGGCACACAUGUAGUGCAUAGACAUACCCACAAGCAAAACACUGAUACACAUAAAUAAAUCUUGAAAAAAGAAAAUAGGUAGGUGACAAGAAUAAAACUUUAAAGUACCAUUCAUUCAUUUUAAAUUGGCUUAGCUGAUGAUAGUGCUUUCUGACUAGUAAUUUUUAGUGGGCAGUACAUAUAUAACUCUGUGUGUGUGUGUGUGUGUGUGUGUGUAUUCACCAUAUAUAAGUGAAAAUGUCCCAUAUGUAUGUAUGUAUGCAUAUAUGUAUGUAUUAUGUUUGCCAUAUAUAAGUGAAAAUGUUCCAGCCAUAGUUUGAUUUAGAUUAGUUUGAAAAAUGACACAAGGCGUUGUCUUUUGUUUGUUUAGGGUUUUGUUUAGUCAAGAGUUUCUCUCCCAGAGUGGUUUGUAACUGCUCUUGUAGAUCACCUUCAACUUCUGAUCCUCCUGCCUUCAGUGCCCAAACCCUGCGAUCCCUGGAAUGUUCCGCCAUGCCCAGUUUCUGCAGCACUAGGGCUCACAUCCAGGGUAUCAUUUAUGCUCAGCAAGCAUUCCACAAGCUGACCACAUCCCCAGGCCAAAGCAGAUUAUCCUUUAGUGCUAGACAGCUCAAUAAAAACAUGAAAGCUGAGCUGAUAAUGAAGAAUGAGAAAAGGGUGUGGGGAGAAGGUUAGUGACAGCCACACCCUAUCAAGGUUGCUGUGAGUUUCGUGCUUGUGGAUGGCUGCUUUGGAUUUCACUAGUGUUUUUUGAGAGUGUAGGAAGUAUCCUUUGCAUACUCCUUGUCAGUAGGUUAGCUGGCUCCUCUUCACCCAGAUCAUGCUGUAUUGUAAAUCCUUCAGGAACGUUCUGACAGCAAGGUCUCCAAACAAUAGGUGGAGAAAAUGCUACUGAACCUUGUGCUGCAAUUUCUGGCAAACUGCAGCCUGUUCGAGCUGCAGCGUCUCUGUGGCUCUCCUUGCUUUAAGGGAGGGACCUUUUCUCUUUUUUGCAGUUAGAAUCAGGUCUUACGUUAAUUUCAUUAGUAUGGAUUAAGAAAUUAAACUAUAGAGCAUAGGUAGACAUUGAAAUGUAAAUCAUGAGACAAUUUAAAGCGUAAAACGAUUUCUUUCACGCUAUUAACAGCACGUAUUGCAAAUUCAUGCAAGGCAGUUGAGAAUAGCAUGCAGUGUGCUGUUUACCCAAGUUUCAGCUUCUGCCGGAGGAUGUCUAUUUUUGUAUAUUACAUCAUCUCUGCUAGAGAACUCCGCUGUCCACUGGGAUUUACUGUUCUUUCAUUCCAAUCUGAAAGAGAGCUUGUAUUGAUGUCAUAAUUGGACCUAUCUUUCAGUUGAAAGUAAUAACAGUGCUGUGUAGCAAGUCAUGCAAUAUUUCAAGCAAUUUGUCUGUCAAAAAGAUCAGUGCCACUUUGUCCUGCUUCUGACUGUGACCAUGGGUAGUGUGUUUUGCGCUCUCUCUCUCUCUCUCUCUCUCUCUCUGCCUGUAUGUGUUUUAAAUACAGUUAACUGAAAUUUUGCUUUGUGUUGCAACAGCAAAGAUCCCUUUCCUGUCUGCCAGCUUCAGCUUCCCUCAUGUGCCCCUCCACCCCGCCCUGUUUCUAGCAUGAUGUCUUACAAGCUCUUCUCUUUGGACAUACCAACUUUUUUAUCUUUAAUCAGUGCUGAAAGGGUCUUGUUAGAAUGGUUAUCCGUUGCAAACAGUCUGUCUUAACUAUGCAUGAUAAUGAGUAAUGAGAAAUGUUCUGAGAUUGAAAUCCAGUGUGAAAACAGCAGUGAUCAUCAGAUGAUCUUGUAACCCUCUGGGUGACGUGCUAGCAUCUAAUGGAAUGUGCACAUGCUAGAUUUUAAGGCAUUUGUGAAAGGAAAUGGUUUAGUUAUUUAUAUAAGCAUGAUUUUAAAACAUUAAGUGAUCUGCAUACCAGUGUAAUGAAUAUGUAUAUAAAUAUGUAUCACUAUAUAUAAAAAAAUCCUCCUUAUUCUUGAAAGAUUUAGUGACUGUCAGUUAUAUCUAUGUGUUUUUAACUGAUUAGGAGCAAGCUUCCAAUACAUUAUUUUUAAUAACUUUAUUGAGUUAUGUUUUAUAUAAUACAAUCGUCUGAAGUCUUUUCCAAAGGUCUUUUCUUGGUUAAAACAAACACAAACAGCAUGUAGCAUUACAUUUACAAUCUUAAUGGUUUUUAAGCAGACAUCUUGGUAAUAUUAAGUAAGUCAGUAGAUUUUUGAACUGAUAGGAACUUACACAUUUUUUUAUAUGUUCUCUGAUCAUAGCAUUUCUCAUAGGCUAAAAAUAUAGGGAUCUGCGGGGAGAAUGGUAGAGGGGGUGGGCAGUCGUUUAUGUUAAUGCAAUUCUGUGUGGAUUGUAUGUGCUCAGCUGGUGCACAGGUGGGUGUGAUGUUUCCUAAAGUAGAGGGAAAGAUCAAGUGGCCCUGAAAUGGGAAUUGAUGGUUUGAAUAAGGAGGGCUGAUUCAGAUGCUGAGGAUUGGAGGGUGUAGAAGGAGACAGGACAGCAGUGGUCGAAAGUUAGCUUCAGAUCAGUCCGGAAGGUCUUUUGAGUGUUGAAGAAUGGGCAAACCUCAAAAGGCAACAUUUCCCUUUCACUGGUUAUCUUUGUUUGUACUUACUGUAAGAAGUUUGAAACUAGGCCUUAACAGAAGUUCUGGAAAUCAUCAGAACUUUGGGGAAUACCAAGGGAAGCUUUUAGACAGAGGGUGAUUUGCUAUUUGUUACUUUAUGCAAUAAAUAGUCCUCAGCCGAGUGGGAUGGGCAGAGUAGCCUUGACCUUCCUGUUCUUGACAUUGGCUUUAGUAAACUGAGGAGCACUUGAGAGCUUCAGUUUGGUUUUCUUUGCAGUGAACUUUGACACUUAGCGUGCACUACUGUUGAUUAGAGCAGAAGAGCCCUAACCUUUCAGCAGGAUUACUUGUCAGUCAGGGCCUAUCACAUUAUAACACAGAGAUAAACAGCAACUAGCAACUAUGGGUUGUUUUAAGGAGCCAAGAGGCUGGCUAUUGUCUGACUGUACACCUUCUUAAACUGUUUUCAUUCUAGAUAGUAAUACCAUUAAGUCAAAAGCUCAGUGAGUUCCAGUACAGCCACGGUUAUAUAAAGGAAUUCUGUUUAAAAAAAACCUACCCCCCCCCC